rnacentral:lncRNA from 1 species
UUAAUUAAAAUACUUUUUAAUUGAUGUGAUUGUUGAAUAUUUUUGUAGUAACAGAUCUACUUCUACAACCUCUUAUUGAGCUGGACCAAGAGCAGAUUGAUAUAGAAGACUAUGCCAGAGCUCGCUGUGAAUCUGACAGUGGAAGACAAUGUCAUUUCUACAUUGAUCAGAGUCCAAACCCUUUCAAAUCAACACCGCACAGUUUUGGUGUCUGUCAGCUCACUGUGUAUGCCAGUGAGCUGCUAGAAAACAAAACUCGUCAGGAUAAAAUGGAGAUCUUUCUAAGCUGCACUGUUGAAACUCAAACUGGGAACCAAACAGUUAUCUCAAAGCGAAGUGGAAUGAAAAAACUAGAAGUAUUUGACACAUUUGGUAGUCUUUCUAUCGAUGUGGACAUGGAACAUAUCAAAAAAGAGACAAUCAUUACAGUUCGCUGUGAAACUGAGAGAGGAACACGAUGCCAUUUUUAUACUGAUGAGGGCAGAGCUCCUUUCAGAACAGUGCCCUUCAGGGAACAGUUUAAAGUCUGUCUCCUCACGGUGUCUGGAUGGGAGCUGCUGGAACAGAGGGGUAAGGGGAACGCGGCCGAGGUCUUCCUGAGCUGUGCUGCUGAACUGACCACAGAGGGGCGAUCAGUUUCUUCAGACCGCAGCAGAGCCAUCAGGAUCCAGGUGGAAAAUCCAGAAGAGAGUGAGCCAACAAGCAAUCGUCUAGGGGAGUUUGGGUUGCCCACAGUUUCUUAUAUUACAGAUUACAAUGUUUCCAGAUCUGGAGUCGGAACAUUACCACAUACAUUCAUCUGGGUGGCUGCUGGUGAAUUGAUUUCAUUGAUGUUAACAGCAUUACUGAGCUCUCUCUAUUUCAAACAUAAGAGAGACAAACAAGACAGAGAAUGAUGAGUCAGCACAUCUUCUUCCUGAAGCUAAUCAACAGCAAGAACUCUGGGCAUGCUGCAGAAGCUCACAGGAGAACUUCUUUAUUCAUUGUUUUGAAAAAUUUGUGUUACUGUAAACUUUGUAGUACAUGUACUCUACUGUAUAUAUAUAAUCUGAAAAUUUAAACAUCUCUUUUCUUUCCUUCUGUGGGGAGCUGCAUAAUGGAAAUAAUGGAAAUAGAAUUUGUAGUGGGAUUUGUAAUUGUGUAUAGACACUUGUGAUUUUGCUCAUUUUAUUUUGCAUGUGUGUAAAAUUCUCUACAUCAAACUUCUAAGUCUAACCAUGUGUCUUUAUGUACACAGAUUAGAACAGUAGACUGCAGAGGCAAAAAUAGCAUCAAAUAAAAUCCAUCCAUCCAUUUUGUAACUGCUUUUUCCAAUUCAGGGCUGUGUGGGAUCCAGAGACUAUCCUGGCAUGCAUUGGGCACAAGGCAGGCUACACCCUGGAAAGGACACUGGUCCAUCGCAGAGCACACACACACACUCACGCCUAGGAUACUCAGAAGCCAAUUAACCCACCAGUAUGUUUUUGGACAAUGAAAGAAAACCAGAGCACCCACAGGAAACCCACGCAAACAUACGCAGAACAUAAACUCAAUUCCAUGUUAAUAACACCCUAAGAAUUGAACCUCUGGCCCCAGUACAAGAAUAAUAACUACUGUGACAUCAUGCUGCUGUAAUCAUUCCAAUGAAAGCAGAACAAAAUGUAGUCUCACAUCAGCUGUGUUUGACCAGUGGUGGGACUGCCUGCAGCACUGUUUGCUUGUUGAGGACACUGGAUCAGUCUGGUGGAAAGAUUAACUCCAUUUGACUGUACACUGACAUGUACUACAGUCGGUAUUCUACUAGACCAAAUCUGCGACAUUCAAGCAACAUGGUAAUCCCAUGCUAUGUGUAAAUUGGGAUUGAUUAAGAGGAUGUCAUAUUGAAAACUACAUGGUUUAGUCUUUUUAUGAUCCUGUAACUAUUUUGGAUACUGCAUAUGAAUAUUGAUAUAUUAUGAAACAUUGCAGGCUUCCUUUGGAACUGAUUGGAAAGUUG